UCCACUUGUGUCUAGUGAUGGGCGGGAAUCGGGAAUCGAUUCCAGGGAACCGGUUCCAAGCGCGGAACCGUCGAGCCAGUUUAAAAUUGUUGAACGUAACGAUUCCGGUUCUUCGUCGUCUUGUUCCAAGUUAUCCCUGCCUGAGUGCACUAUAGGUAAUAAUUAAAUGGACUACAUUUGGCAAAACAGAUAUGAAUGAGUUCAAAAGCAACUUCCGGCUACUUUUAAGAGAUUAUUGGAAAGCACAGUGACCAGUGACGCUUCACAUGACCGUGCAUGCUUGAAACAAGCAACGGAACGUGAGAGUGAAUCCGAUGCCUUUAAAAAUCAAAUUGUUGAAAUGAAGAAAGACGUUUGCUAUACAUUACAUGUAAAUAAAUGUGUUUAUUAAAUAGCUGCUUUAUGUCAGUGUGUUAGAUUUUACAUAAUGAUUUCACUUAUUCAUUCUAAUGGAACUUUAACCAAGAAUUCCUGUGUAUGUAGGCUCUUAUGCAGGGUCAAGUGCAGUGGUAUAAGCCUGGAGAUUAGUUGACACCAAUGAAUUAUAAAACUAUAUGCGAUUAAUGAUGACCUAUAUAUGGAAACUUAAACUAUGAAAAGGAAAGGUUGUUGGCAAAUCUGACCAGUGCAUGGUUUGUUUUGGAGAGUGGUUUCACUAUCCUAAUCAGUUAACAUUGGAAAUAAACAUAUUUGCUCUGUCAGAUCUGUCUGUCGGUUGUGUGCAGGGAAGCAAAAACCAUUUUGAAGUGGGAGAGUGGGCAAAGUUUUACAUAUGCCUAUUUUAGGCUCAGUUCCUGGGUGAAUUCAGGUAUUCUGGGACAUCAAGUAAUGUGGGACCUAUGCCUAAACUACCUAGACUUUUCCACCUCAAUAAUAAUGCUUACAUCAAGGAGACUUUGUUUAUGUUUUCAUAGAUUUAUUUCAUUAACAUCAGACAGAUUACAUUUUAUCAGACAAAAUACAAAGCAGUGCAUUGACUUUUGUCAGGAUUUCUUUAGACAUAGUUUUGAAAUGCAUCCAUUGCACUUAUAAUUAUGUUGAGUUUUGUUAUAAAUCCCAUUCAACCUUGUGACCACAGGACCUCAGGCCUUAUUGUUGUCCUCUAAAGAGUAAUUGCACUCACUGUUUCAGCCUGGCUCCUUUUAAACUGUGUGACCAUGAUUUUUGACCUCCUCACUGUAUGUGACAGAUGCGGUCUUGUCAUUUUGCUAUAGUGACAUAUAAAAACAUAUUAAAAAUAUGUGUUUUAAUAUGAAGGUUGAUAAUUUUGUCAGUGUGAUCAAUGCCUUUCUGUCAUACAGUUGAAAAUGAACAAUCAAUAUAAUAUAGGCCUGUGCACAGGACAUUGUAAUUUGACUUAACAAUGGUUGAGGUACGUCAGGGCUGGAUUGGCCUAUCGAGGCACAUAACUCGGACAUCCCCUUCUCCAGAGUAUGCAAUUUUGUUGGCUGGGAUGAGGAUACAGUUGGGCAUGUGAUCACCAAACCUAGAUGAAUGAAGACUGGAAGAACUUUGACUGGUCUGACAAAUCUUGAUUUAUGCUGCAACAUGGAGAUGGUCGGUUCAGAGUUUGGCAUAAACAGCUUGAAUUCAUGGAUCCAUCUUGUCUUGUGUCAAUGGUUCAGGCUGGUACUGAAAUGGUGUGGGGAAGGGGCAAGGCCAGAAAUCGCCAUUUGGUUAAGCUUAGGCAAAAUAGAGCAACGUUUGUAUGAAGAGAGGUAAAGAUUACGUAUUACUGAGAGAGGUUAGAUUUAGAAGGGAUAUUGCAGAUGGAGGGUUGAAAGUAGGGUACUAUUUUGUUUUCUUAUACACAGUUAGAAAAUAGCAUUUAAAAAUAUUAUGGGGAAAGAAAUAUGCAGCGAAAUGUACUACACACUCCGGUACAGUAGGUGGUGGUAUGCACCUUAAACAUUAUGUAAAUCCCGGCAUUACAUUCAACGAAGAAGAGGAUAAAGUUGUUCUGCGAUACGCCAUUAAAUGCAGAAGUUGUUCGCCCGAAGACUACAAUGGGCAAGACGUGUGAUCUAAGCGACUUUGACCGUGGUAUGAUUGUUGGUGCCAGACGUGGAGGUGCCAGCGUUUCAGAAACAGCUGCCCUUCUGGGAUUUUCACGCACUACAGUCUCUAGAGUGUACAGGGAAUGGUGCGAAAAACAAAAAACAUCCAGCGAGCGAAAAUUCUGUGGGCGAAAACACCUUGUUACUGAGACAGGUGAGAGGAUAAUCGACACAAUCGUUAAAGCGAACAGAAAGGCCACACAUGCUCAAAUAACUGCUGUCUACAAUAGUACUGUGCAGAAGAGCAUCUCUGAACGUACAACGCGUCGAACAUUAAAGCGGAUGGGCUACAGCAAGGCCGUACCGGAUUCCACUCCAUAAACUAAGAACAGGAAGAUCCCAGCGCAGAGCUGCUGUCAUGAGAUGGGAUUAGUUGGCCAGUGAAACAUCCAUCAGAAGUGCUGUCGCAGACCAGCUCAAGCAUGCACCAGGAAGAAGCAGGGGUGGGGGCUACAGGAAAGGGAAAUAACUUUAAAUAAGCUUAUAUGCACUCUCCAUUCAAAAAUGAAAAUUUAGUCAUUAUCUAUCUACUCUUAGGUCAGUUAAAACUGCACACUUAACACCCAGUGAGUUAUCUAAAUAUUAAAAGAAACAAAUAAACCUUGUUUGAACUAUACAUUUAAAGAAACAAUGCUACCUGACAAAUGUUUAAUAGGCUAAAAUUCCAGUGCCCUCCAAAAGAAUGCUAACGGUAGAGUCAAAUUUGUUAUUUUUGCUAUAUACAUUUGGAUUUUUGUACAUUGGCAUUUUGAUUUGAGAUCAAAAGUUGAAUAUGGGACAAAAUUAUAGUCUUUUAUUUCAUGGUAUUUACCUAUGUAUAUGUUUUACCAUUUUACAGAGGUAGCUGUUUUUGUGUUGAGUCCAAUGAGCCCCUACCAGGUUGGUGUGGUAGCAGUUAAUUUAACAUGAUUCAGGUAACUUGAGGACAAGUGGAACAAUGGAUGUCCAAUUCAUAGCCACUUAAGAUCUUGUCCCGGAUUCAUUUCGAGGCAGAACUUUAGCUGUUGAACUGUUUGUCAUGUGCUGCCACACAGUGGGAGGUAGUGGUAUUACAGCUAAUCAAAUGCUUUUUCAGUGUUCUCCAAAAAAUAUCAGCAGUUACCAUACCCUACAUUUAUUAAACAAUUACAUAUUUAGAGUUUGAAAUUAAUUUAGCAUGGACUGGGAGAAGAUUUUUUACCAUAAAAAUCAGAGAAACCUAACUCCUGUCACAUGUUAUGUUUCAUUUUUCUAUUUUUCCAUUAAUGAUCGCAGUAUUUCAAAAUGAAAUAAAAGCAUCUAAAGACGCCUGAAGGCUGAUGACACAAUAUUUCAGUGUGACAGUAAUAUCAUUGUAUUUUUCUAUGUAUUAUGUUACCUAAAGGAAGAAUUUUUAAACUUUUGCAUGGCUUGAUUUUGCUCUCUGGUAAGUAACUGCAACAGUCUAUUUUUCAAAGUGACUGCAUUCUUUAAAUUUCACCUUUCUGGCAUUAAGCAGAAACUCGUAUCCAGGGCGACUUGCACAGCUUACAGUCUUUACGCGCACUCCUCUUACACAGCUGGAUAUUUACUGAAGUGGUUCAGUUGAAGUAACUUGCUCAAGGGUACUAUGGCAGCGCCCCAUGUGGGAAUUGAAAGUUCAGGCACAGUGUCUUUCGGGCGAUUGGUAGCUAAUGAAUGUAUCACUGAGGAGGAUCCCUGUUAUAAUGUGCUUGUGCUACAAAACGGAAGCACGCUGGUCAGAAACAAAAUAAGAAAUAACAUGGUUUGAACAGUACAAUGCAGGCCUAGCUCUGGAUGGAAAGAGCAGUAGAAUAUGUCUUCUACCCCAUUGGAGAUUUGAUCGUGAUUACGAUUAUGACGUCAUUACUGUUGUUGUAUUUGUUAUUGCAGCAGUACCCAGCGUAAUAGUAGUAGUACCACAAUUAACUAAUUACUGUAGGUAGCAUGCUAUCUGUAACAAAAAUAGAAUUAAUGAAUUAACUAAUGAAUUACUAAUUUUCGAAAUACCAUGACUGAAUUUACACAUUAAAAGCUUUUUGAGGCUCCAGACUUUAAUUCUGGCUAAAAGAAAACACAACCAAUGUACACUAUAUAUUAUGUCUACAUUGAACCAGGAGCGUUUAAUUUGGGUUAUGACUUAGAAUUUCAGAUAAGAAAGAAGGUAGAAGAUGAAUAUAGUUUAGUUUUAAUUGUUAGUGACAUUGAUUCAGUAUCUGGCUUUCAACAAUUUAGCAUAAAUUUCAAAACGCCAGUUGGGUGAUGGGAUGUUACUGCAAAUACUGCAUUUGAAGAACCACAUUUUGAGUGUCAAAUGUAUGUGCAGUUAUUCUAAGGCCUGAUAUAUUGGUUAUUUUAAAGAAGACCUUUUUCCCAGUGUUCACAACCCAGUUAUCUUAAAAUCAGAGAGUGGACCAGUAGAAUGCUAUACUAUAGCACAAAUGAAAAUGAUCUUUGUUUAGAAUAAACAUAUGUGCUCUGCAGUUGUUUAAA